rnacentral:rRNA from 1 species
GAUGAACGCUGGCGGCGUGCCUAAUACAUGCAAGUCGAGCGAACAGACGAGGCGCUUGCUCCUCUGACGUUAGCGGCGGACGGGUGAGUAACACGUGUAUAACCUACCUAUAUGACUGGGAUAACUUCGGGAAACCGGAGCUUAUAGCGUAUAAUAUAUUGAACCGCAUGGUUCAAUAGUGAAAGACGGUUUUGCUGUCACUUAUAGAUGGAUCCGCGCGGCAUUAGCUAGUUGGUAGGUUAACGGCUUACCAAGGCAACGAUGCGUUGCCGACCGGAGAGGGGGGUAGCCGACACGGGAGCUGAGCCGGGGACCAGAGUCCUGAGGGAGGCACCAGUAUGCAAUCUGCCGCAGCGGGCGAGAACUUGGCGGAGCGGGGCGGAGUGUGAGAUAACGACCUCCGGUGCGGAAUGAUCUGUUAUGGGGGAAAAACAACUGUGUACGUAACUGUACCCGUCGUGACGGUACCUAAUAAAAAAGCACCGGCUAACUACGUG